rnacentral:lncRNA from 1 species
UGAACUAUACUUGUCUAUCUAGCAGCGAUAUUCAAGCGAGAUCCUCAAGGUGACGCUGAGGAAAAAUCAUGUACCACUAGCACACUCUCGAGGGGAAGUUCUUCGUCUUCUUUUCCUUCAAUGUUUACUACACGGCGCUUCCUAGAAUAUUGAUCUAAUAUCUCCAUUGCUUUCAUCACAGAUAUCGUCGUUUCAGAGUUCCUCCACAAGUUGAAAGAUAACAUAUGAUGUUUUCUGUCCGUUGGUACAAUUGAGAUGAGUGAAAACUCGUUCUAGUUCCUCUAACCCUUCUUCAACUGCUAAUUACCUAUCAGGUCUAUCGAAUCAUUGCGAGUUGUAGUUCAUUCGACAGCACUAUCCAUCGCGUUAAGCAUUUGAGUUGACUUUAGGUCGCGUAGCCUGAGCUUGGGUUUGUUGUUUGGACAAAUCCUCGUAAUGCACUCAAAAUUGAUUCUUGAAAUCUCAUCCACUAGUUUGACGAGUUUGUUUUGCUUAGCUUCGUCCUUGUAGUUCGUGCUAGUGUUCUCUACACUAGCUACGAGAAUAGGCAUGCGUACUUCUUAUGGAUCUAUAUUCAGGGACAUUUUAUAUAGGUUUCUACGCACUUACGAAUUGAGAGGAUAUAGGUCAAAGCUUUUCUAGGAAAAUUUCUAGGUUAUUCCUAUUUCGAGGACGAUGUUCAAAAUAAAUAUUUCAAAACCCGUAAUUCAAUAUCAUGAACUGAAAUAUUCCGAAAUAAAAUCAUAGCUGCAAUAAUCUUCAACAUGAUGAAUUGUAUACUGAACUUUCUCAUAAUAACUUGAAUAAUGAACUUGAACUUUCUGAUCAUAACUUCAAUUAUUGCAGCAAGUUUAACAUAAAUUCGGAAUAUAAACAGUUUAUACUCAUCCCCUUGAAAACUUUUAAAAUAACUUUUACCUUGACGUCGGAGCGCGUAGUGGUCGAAUGGCCUUGUCACACUUGACUUGAAACAUUUUAAGAAAAAUUUUAUUUUGCAGAGUCUACAGGAAAGUAGACCUGCUCUGAUACCAUGCUGUAACACCCUAAUCUAAUUAACGUAUUAAAAUAUGAAUGUACAUAAUUUUUGACAGCGGAAAUAUCAUAAAAUAAAGAUUUGGAUUUAUUAUCAAAUAAAUAAAUUUUUAAAUAAAAUAUUUUGAAAACACUUCAAAGGGAGCAAACCCUAAAAAAAUUAAACUUUUAAAAUAAUGUACUCAAAGGCUAACUUUGAUUUAAAAAUCGACAAUCAACCUCUUAUUUCAAAGCAUGACAUAAAGAUGUCAUCAAAAUAUCCAGGUAUUAGGUAAAACUUGUGCUAAGCAAAACUUUAAAUACUUAAAUUAGUUGAAAAUCAAAUCAACUACUUGAUAAAUGUCUUGAAUCUCGAUGCGCCCAUUCGACCUUCCACGCGUCUCCAACGUCAAAAUACCUGAAAUGUUUAAUAUGGGAUGAGCAUACAGAAUAUACUCAGUGUGGGAAACAUGCAAUAAUUGUCCACGUUAAUAAAAUGGUCAACACAUACGCACUGCACUGUACUGAUAACUGAAAUUCGCACGGUGGCAUACCAAGGACUUUAAAGUCCUGGACCCAUUGAGCAGGCCCCUGGCGAAUAGGUUGCAACCCUAACUGUAACAUGAAAUCGCAUUGUGGCAUACCAAGGACGGUGAAGUCCUGGACCCAUUGAGCGGGCCCCUAGCGAUAUAACUGAAUUUACAACACAUAUGGCAAACACAUAAUAUUAAAAUGGACAACAAUUAACCACGGCAUGUACUGAAAUAAAUCCCACACCUGAAACUUUGAACUUGAACUUGAAAGCUAACUUGAGUAAUUCAAUUAAAA